rnacentral:rRNA from 2 species
GACAAGCCCUGGAAACGGGGUCUAAUACCGGAUACGACCUGGGAAGGCAUCUUCUCGGGUGGAAAGCUCCGGCGGUGAAGGAUGAGCCCGCGGCCUAUCAGCUUGUUGGUGAGGUAACGGCUCACCAAGGCGACGACGGGUAGCCGGCCUGAGAGGGCGACCGGCCACACUGGGACUGAGACACGGCCCAGACUCCUACGGGAGGCAGCAGUGGGGAAUAUUGCACAAUGGGCGAAAGCCUGAUGCAGCGACGCCGCGUGAGGGAUGACGGCCUUCGGGUUGUAAACCUCUUUCAGCAGGGAAGAAGCGAAAGUGACGGUACCUGCAGAAGAAGCGCCGGCUAACUACGUGCCAGCAGCCGCGGUAAUACGUAGGGCGCAAGCGUUGUCCGGAAUUAUUGGGCGUAAAGAGCUCGUAGGCGGCUUGUCACGUCGGGUGUGAAAGCCCGGGGCUUAACCCCGGGUCUGCAUCCGAUACGGG